rnacentral:rRNA from 1 species
AUACGGAAGGUCCGGGCGUUAUCCGGAUUUAUUGGGUUUAAAGGGAGCGCAGGCGGAGAUGCAAGCGUGACGUCAAAUUUCGGGGCUCAACCCCGUCUCGCGUCGCGAACUGCGUCCCUUGGUUGCGGGUAGGGGAGGCGGAAUUCGUGGGGUAGCGGGGAAAUGCUUAGAUAUCACGAAGAACCCCGAUUGUGAAGGCAGCUGUCUGGGGUGCCACUGACGCUGAGGCUCGAAAGUGCGGGUAUCAAACAGGAUUAGAUACCCUGGUAGUCCGCACAGUAAACGAUGGACACUCGUGGUCGGCGACACACUGCCGGUCACCAAGCGAAAGCGAUAAGUGUCCCACCUGGGGAGUACGCCGGCAACGGUGAAACUCAAAGGAAUUGACGGGG